GACAGAGGGUGCAAACGUUGCUCGGAAUCACUGGGCGUAAAGGGCGUGUAGGCGGGCAUGCAAGUCAGGCGUGAAAUCCCUGGGCUCAACCCAGGAAUUGCACUUGAAACUGCAUGUCUUGAGUAUCGGAGAGGAAAGCGGAAUUCCUGGUGUAGAGGUGAAAUUCGUAGAUAUCGAGGAGAACACGGUGGCGAAGGCGGCUUUC
rnacentral:rRNA from 1 species